GACGAACGCUGGCGGCGCGCUUAACACAUGCAAGUCGAGCGAGAACCAGUCCUUCGGGGCUGGGGACAGCGGCGAACGGGUGAGUAACACGGGGGUAAUCUGCCCUCGGCACCGGAAUAGCCCGGGGAAACCCGGAUUAAUGCCGGAUGGCCUCUCUGCCCCUCGGGGCGGCGAGAAAAGGUAGCUUCGGCAUCCGGCCGAGGAUGAGCCCGCGGCCGAUUAGCUGGUUGGUGGGGUAACGGCUCACCAAGGCGACGAUCGGUAGCUGGUCUGAGAGGACGAUCAGCCACACUGGGACUGAGACACGGCCCAGACUCCUACGGGAGGCAGCAGUGGGGAAUCUUGCGCAAUGGGCGAAAGCCUGACGCAGCGACGCCGCGUGCGGGAAGAAGGCCUUCGGGUUGUAAACCGCUUUCAGGAGGGACGAAGCCACUCGGGUUAAUAGCCCAGAGGGUGACGGUACCUCCAGAAGAAGCCCCGGCUAACUACGUGCCAGCCGCCGCAGUAA
rnacentral:rRNA from 1 species